CGUGUAGGCGGGGGAAUGUGUCGGAAGUGAAAUCGUACGGCUUAACCGUAACAAGAGCUUCCGAAACUGUUCCUCUUGAAUGCGGAAGAGGUAGAUGGAAUUCCUGGUGUAGCGGUGGAAUGCGUAGAUAUCAGGAAGAACACCGGUGGCGAAGGCGGUCUACUGGUCCGUGAUUGACGCUGAGGCGCGAAAGUGCGGGGAGCAAACAGGAUUAGAUACCCUGGUAGUCCGCACCAUAAACGAUGAUCACUAGUUGUCGGGGGAUUCGACCCCCUCGGUAACGUCGCUAACGCAGUAAGUGAUCCACCUGGGGAGUACGCUCGCAAGGGUGAA
rnacentral:rRNA from 1 species